AGUGACCUAGCUGAAUGGAGGAAUGGCUGUUUCAUGCAUUUUCCAUGCUAUGAACUGGGUCAUGACAUAACUGGAAAACUUGUUCAACUAUCCUGUGGGUUGGGACACCUGGCACCCGGACGAGGGACCUGAGUAUGAAGGAUCCAGUGAAGAGCACCUGAGAAGGGGAUGGCAGAGAAUCGUCUCAAGAAAGGCCGCAGAGGAAAACUGAAGAGGAUGGCAGAGAAUUGUCCAGAAGGGGAUGGCAGAGAAUCGUCCCGGUUCCUGGACACAAAAAGGAAACAUGAAACUUCAAUGACCAAACUGCAAUGCGAGAUGGAAAGCUACCACCAUAGACCGCAGAAAGAAAAGACAGAGAAACGUCUGGGUUUUCAUGACAUUGAUGAGCUUCCAGCUCACUGGCCCCACAUCCUACCAAUGGGGGUCCGAAACCCAGAGCCACAGUUUAUACAUUUGCAACUCGAUUUAUACAUACCCAGAACUUAUUGGUGGCCUUGAGGUCCUAGUCUGCACUUAAUGAAAUGAGAAACAAUAAAUCACUUUUAAU